GUCAUUUAAGUUAGAUUUUUUUUAAACGGCAAUUAAGAUGUUGCUAACCAGAUUAGUAUUAGUAGUUAAUUACUGCUAUUAAAAGCCCCCAAUCCCCGAGUCCUUUUAAUUUUUAAGUUAGAUCCCUUUAGUUUGCUGGGUGGUUUCUUGAUCUUGAUGAUCAAGAACUCUCUUCUUAGACUUGUGUAUCGUCAAACGUUGUGUUUUUUCUUCUCCGGACAAGGAAUGCACGAUCAGAGGUUGCUGAUGAAGCCAGCAUCUGCAAAAAGAGUUUGCCAAAUGUAGCCACCUUCCAUCCACAGCCAGCUCAUCGUUGAACAACUUAUCCAACCUCAGUACUUACCUAGUGUAGUGCAACUAACUGAUUCAAACAUAAGGGAAGAAGAACAAAACCUAUCACAUAUUUUCUUCCAUAUAUAUAGUCAAACUCUAAAUCGUCUGUAUUACAAACUCGGUUGACCCAAAAAUAAUGGAUUUGAAGACAAGUUUUCAAGACAUGUAAAAUGACAUAGCAUUUAUAGUAAAGUUGAUGUGCGAAUAUGUGAGAAAUGUAUGCAAAUAUUAGAUACCCGAGUAUGCCAAGUAGAAGAAAACCACCAACGGCUGAGAAAGUUAGUGGAGGGCGAUUGGGCGAUCUGCAUUAAAAACAAAAAGUUCAGUCUAAGAUGCUUGUAGGAUUCAGAUACAAAACACACACACACACACAGACAAGUACCUAUGAAUGAGAAAAGCAGAAGGAAGAAGAACAAGGCAUGUUAAAGCAUUGGAGUAGAAUACAUAGGAGAAGUUCUGCAUCCCAGUUUCUAUAGCUUUUUUGCUUGCUAAUGUUAAUCCCACCUGUGAAACUUGAGCAACCAUCAUAGCCAAAAAUGGCAGUGCACCCUUCAUCUUCCUCUUGAAAAUCUUUUGAGGCACAAGAUUGCUUAUAUUUUGGUCAAAAUGUAUUGGUCAUAAUACCAGUAAGAGUUUAGUAAUACUAAAUCUAAUGAAUUUGUUAGUACCAGGACCACUUAGGAUGCUACACUUAUUAUUUAUUCGUACAUUCAUGAUGUUACGAAUUACGAGUUGAGUUUAGCUAGAUUAAGAUAUGUGUUUCUUAUUACGAGGACCACCUUGUGAAAAUGAUUUGAAAAUCACACAAUUUAAUAAUCUAAUGGAGUUUGUUUA